GAUAUUCCAUCCAGGGUAAUCUUCUUCUUCAGAUUUUAGUAAAAGAUUUAAAAGAAUUUUGAAAUUAAAUUAAAAUAACCAAAGCAUGGAAAUUUGAAAUCAAUGAAAAUUAAAUAGAUAUGCUUAAGAAAAACUCGAUGUAAAAAAGACCCUCAAAAUAAACCGAAAUAAAUAUAUAAAUAAGGUAUUUACAAAACACUUAAAAAUUAACACGG
rnacentral:lncRNA from 1 species